rnacentral:pre_miRNA from 1 species
GUACUACUCCCUCCGUCCGGAAAUACUCGUCGAAGGAAUGGAUGUAUCUAGAUGUAUUUUAGUUCUAGAUACAUUUAUUUUUAUGCAUUUCUCCGACAAGUAUUUCCGGACGGAGGGAGUACACA